rnacentral:tRNA from 1 species
GCCUGGCUGGCUCAGUUGGUAGAGCAUAUGACUCUUGAUCUCAGGAUUGUGAGUUCAAGCCCCAUGCUGGGUG